rnacentral:rRNA from 1 species
CUACGGGUUGCUGCAGUGAGGAAUAUUGCACAAUGGGGGGAACCCUGAUGCAGCAACGCCGCGUGGAGGAUGACGCAUUUCGGUGUGUAAACUCCUUUUAUAUGUCAAGAAAAUGACGGUAGCAUAUGAAUAAGCACCGGCUAACUCCGUGCCAGCAGCCGCGGUAAUACGGAGGGUGCAAGCGUUACUCGGAAUCACUGGGCGUAAAGGACGCGUAGGCGGGUUGGAAAGUCAGGUGUGAAAUCCUACAGCUUAACUGUAGAACUGCACUUGAAACUUCUAAUCUAGAGUAUGGGAGGGGGGGAUGGAAUUAGUGGUGUAGGGGUAAAAUCCGUAGAUAUCACUAGGAAUACCUAAAGCGAAGGCGAUCUCCUGGAACAUUACUGACGCUAAAGCGUGAAAGCGUGGGGAGCAAACAGGAUUAGAUACCCCUGUAGUC